AUCUUUGUACUUGGGGCAAUGACGCAACUAGUGAAGUUCUAACCGAUUCGUGUCUAUUGCUAGUUGAAAUCUAUUGCCAAACACCCUGCUUAGUGAUGAUGAAAUGCUUCAUUAUUUACACAAAAUUUCACCAAAAAUAGA
rfam:Capsicum annuum cultivar Zunla-1 chromosome 12, whole genome shotgun sequence